rnacentral:rRNA from 1 species
GUCGAGAAUCUUCCGCAAUGCGCGAAAGCGUGACGGAGCGACACCGCGUGAUGGAUGAAGUCCUUCGGGGCGUAAACAUCUUUUAUAAAGGAGGAAAUUUUUGACGUUACUUUAUGAAUAAGGGGCUCCCAAUCUCGUGCCAGCAGGAGCGGUAAUACGAGAGCCUCAAGCGUUAUCCGGAAUCAUUGGGCGUAAAGGGUGCGUAGGUGGUUUGAUUAGUCUCCCGUUAAAACUUCGAGCUUAACUCGAAAAGAGCGGGGGAAACGGUCAAACUAGAGUAUGUGAGAGGUGUGUGGAACUCCUGGUGUAGGGGUGAAAUCCGUUGAUAUCAUGGGGAACACCAAAAGCGAAGGCAGCACACUGGCACAUCACUGACACUGAGGCACGAAACCUAAGGUAGCGAAUGGGAUUAGAUACCCGGGUAGUCC